rnacentral:rRNA from 1 species
AACGAACGCUGGCGGCAUGCCUAACACAUGCAAGUCGAACGAGACCUUCGGGUCUAGUGGCGCACGGGUGCGUAACGCGUGGGAACCUGCCCUUAGGUUCGGAAUAACUCCCCGAAAGGGGUGCUAAUACCGGAUAAUGUCUUCGGACCAAAGAUUUAUCGCCUUUGGAUGGGCCCGCGUUGGAUUAGCUAGUUGGUAGGGUAAAAGCCUACCAAGGCGACGAUCCAUAGCUGGUCUGAGAGGAUGAUCAGCCACACUGGGACUGAGACACGGCCCAGACUCCUACGGGAAGCAGCAGUGGGGAAUAUUGGACAAUGGGCGAAAGCCUGAUCCAGCAAUGCCGCGUGAGUGAUGAAGGCCUUAGGGUUGUAAAGCUCUUUUAACCGGGAUGAUAAUGACAGUACCGAGAGAAUAAGCUCCGGCUAACUCCGUG